UAGGAAUAUAGUAACAAAAGGAUUAAACCCUCUAAGGGAUAGAAGCAUCCAGAGGCACUCCUAGUAAUUACCUCUGUAAGUAUGGUCCUUGGUAUAAGGUAUACGGCAGCAGGUAAUUUAAAAAGGUAAACCGUGGUUUAAUGUAUAUAUAGACGAUCAGAAAAUGGAGGUAAAAUAACAAAUAGAAGUGUGUCUUUGCUGCUAAAAAGUCAUUAUUUAAUUAGUUAAGCAAGGUGAAGGUAAGAGUGAGUUUACAGCUGUUACUGUGUACCAUAUUGAGGUAAAUGUGUAUUUACCUCAUUGCA